UGACCCAAUCACCUCCCAAAGCCCCACCUAUGUGCACAUGAGGCUCUUGAGGGGUAGAUAGAAACCCUAACAUAUGCCAUUAAACAGACAGUAUAGAGAAACCUUAGGAGUACAGAGAGAAGGGUAAAUGUCCAAGUAGGUUCAGCUUUCAAGCCAGUUUAGGAAGGAACCAGGCAUAAGACUGGAGCCAUUUUAUAUUUUUUAUUCCACUGAGAUUGAGAAAUAAAGGGUGAAACUUGGGUUUUCACCACGUAUCCUCCAGGAUUCCAGGUGUUAUACAAUUUCACUGUGAUGCCUCAACCUCUCCCAGACAUGCUGCAGGUGAAUUCAGAAUCCUGCUCAUUUCUCAAAGUGUUCUAGUUUCCUACCAGAGAAGAGAAAAGGUUUAUAACUUCCACUUCAAGGGUGAGAAGUGAAAGAUGGCAGUCAAAUCCACAUUCAAGUUCCAAUUAUCAUUCAUACCUUCCAAAGUUUGUGCUGCUACCAUACUAUUACUGCUACUAUGAUAGUCCUACCAUACUACUAUAAUUUUCUUUCUUUUCUUGUUAACAGGAAUCGAACUCAGGACCUUGCACUUGCCAGGCAGGCAUUUGUGCCACUGAGCUAUAUCUCCAGCCCUACUUUAAUAUUUUUGAGAUUUGACGUCUUCAUACCUGGGACAAGAGUCAUGGAGGCUGCCUCAAAAAAUUCUUGUGUCCAAUGAUGAUAUGAUUCGGUGUCUAUCAUCUUACCUAAGUGGAGUGGAGUCUCAAUGGGUGAAGGAAGUAUCUAUUUUCAUUUUAUUUCAAAUUUUCCAAAUUCGUAGCACUGUUUCCUUAUACUUUCAUGCAGUCACCACAUUCUACUUCCUUCUUCUUUCUUUGUCAUACAAUUUGUAAAAAAUAAAGGUUCAGUGAUUUCCCUUGAAAGUGCCAAAUGUCACUUACUCAGUUAUACUAUUGUUUAUUAAGCUACUCAAGUGAAAUGGGAUAGAAAACUCUCUAGAUCUCACCUUUAAACUAACAGGCAUCUAACUUCAUCAUUUUUGAGGUCAUACAUUUUACGAAGUACAUAAUUUAUAUAAAACAUCAAAAUGUUUAUAUAAAACAUCAAAAUGGCAGAAAGGCCCACAGAAAUGUUCACCUAUAAAGAAAUUUAUCAUCUGUGAGAGUAAAGAGAUUUUAAGGCUAUGCAAAUUUAGUAACUUAACUGUGGCUGGAUUAGUUAAUUAGGUAAUUAAAAUGAAAUGUGAUUUUCAUAUUAUCUUUCUGUAUAUUAAUAGCAGAACUGAUCCUAAGAUGGGCAAAUCUACCACUGAAAAAUGCUGAUUAAUUUUAGAUGGAACUUUUCAAUUGCUAAGGUACAUGUUAAUUGUCUUUGGUGAAAUAGGGUAGCACUGUAUAUGUUGGAAAAUUUCAUUUUCCUCCUACAUUUUUGUUUUUACUCUGCAUGUCC
rnacentral:lncRNA from 1 species